rnacentral:rRNA from 1 species
CGGCGACGUGUCUUUCAAGURUCUGCCUUAUCAACUUUCGAUGGUAGUGUAUUUGACUACCAUGGUUGUGACGGGUAACGGAGGAUAAGGGUUCGACUCCGGAGAAGGGGCMUGAGAAAUGGCCACUACGUCUAAGGAUGGCAGCAGGCGCGCAAAUUACCCACUCUCAGAAUGAGGAGGUAGUGACGAGAAAUAACGAKRCCGUUCUCUUAGAGGCCGGCAAUCGGAAUGGGUACAAUCUAAACCCUUUAACGAGUAUCUAUGAGAGGGCAAGUCUGGUGCCAGCAGCCGCGGUAAUUCCAGCUCUCAAAAUGCAUAGAAUUAUUGCUGCGGUUAAAAAGCUCGUAGUUGGAUCUGUGCCGCRGGACUCGGUCYRCCUUCGGGCGCGCACUGAGCUYCUCGGCUUUUCUGCYGGUUUUCCCGUYAUGGUUUUMAUCCGGYSGGRGSGGGUGGCUGGCGAUUUUACUUUGAACAAAUCAGAGUGCUCMACACAGGCGUUUCGCUUGAAUGUUCUUGCAUGGAAUAAUAGAAGAGGAUUUCGGUYCUAUUUUAUUGGUUUUAUAGRCUGAAAUAAUGGUUAACAGAGACMAACGGGGGCAUUCGUAUCGCUGCGUGAGAGGGGAAAUUCUUGGACCGCAGCGAGACGAACUACAGCGAAAGCAUUUGCCAAGAAKGGCUUCCUUAAUCAAGAACGAAAGUCAAAAGUUCCAAGGGGAACAAAUACCGCCCUAGUUCUGACCGUAAACCAUGCCCACUAACGAUCUGCCGGAGGAAUUUUCGCCCUGGUAGGGAGCUUCCCGGAAACCAAAGUCUUCCGGUUCCGGGGGAAGUAUGGUUGCCAAGCUGAAACUUAAAGGAAUUGACGGAAGGGCCCCCCCCGGAGUGGAGCCUGCNGCUUAAUUUGACUCACACACNGGGAAACUCACCCCGCCCGGACACCAUAAGGAUUGACAGAUUGAUAGCUUUUUCAUGAUUUGGUGGAUGGNGGUGCAUGGCCGUUCUUAGUUCGUGGAGCGAUUUGUCNGGUUUAUUCCGA